GAUGAAGAACGCAGCGAAAUGCGAUAAGUAAUGUGAAUUGCAGAAUUCAGUGAAUCAUCGAAUCUUUGAACGCACCUUGCGCUCCUUGGUAUUCCGAGGAGCAUGCCUGUUUGAGUGUCAUUAAUAUAUCAACCUCUUCAGCUUAUGCUUGUUGAGUGUUGGAUGGUGGGGGUUUGCUGGUGUCUUAUGAAGUCAGCUCCUCUGAAAUGCAUUAGCGGAACAAUUUGUUGACCGUUCAUUGGUGUGAUAAAAAUAUCUACGCUAUUGACGUCAGUCAGUUCAGCUUCUAACAGUCCAUUGACUUGGACAAAUUUUUCAUUAAUGUGACCUCAAAUCAGGUAGGACUACCCGCUGAACUUAAGCAUAUCAAAAGCGGAGGA
rnacentral:misc_RNA from 1 species